rnacentral:rRNA from 1 species
UACGUAGGGGGCUAGCGUUGUCCGGAAUCAUUGGGCGUAAAGCGCGUGUAGGCGGUCCGGUAAGUCCGCUGUGAAAGUCGGGGGCUCAACCCUCGGAUGCCGGUGGAUACUGUCGAGCUUGAGUACGGAAGAGGCGAGUGGAAUUCCUGGUGUAGCGGUGAAAUGCGUAGAUAUCGGGAGGAACACCGGUGGCGAAGGCGGCUCUCUGGACCACUACUGACGCUGAGGCGCGAAAGCUAGGGGAGCAAACAGG